GACAGAGGGUGCAAACGUUGCUCGGAAUCACUGGGCGUAAAGGGUGCGUAGGCGGGUCUUUAAGUCAGGGGUGAAAUCCUGGAGCUCAACUCCAGAACUGCCUUUGAUACUGAGGAUCUUGAGUUCGGGAGAGGUGAGUGGAACUGCGAGUGUAGAGGUGAAAUUCGUAGAUAUUCGCAAGAACACCAGUGGCGAAGGCGGCUCACUGGCCCGAUACUGACGCUGAGGCACGAAAGCGUGGGGAGCAAACAGG
rnacentral:rRNA from 1 species